rnacentral:rRNA from 1 species
GACGAACGCUGGCGGCGUGCCUAAUACAUGCAAGUCGAACGCACAGUUUAUACCGUAGCUUGCUACACCAUAGACUGUGAGUUGCGAACGGGUGAGUAACGCGUGGGUAACCUGCCUGGUAGCGGGGGAUAACUAUUGGAAACGAUAGCUAAUACCGCAUAAUAUUAAUUAUUGCAUGAUAAUUAAUUGAAAGGUGCAAUUGCACCACUACCAGAUGGACCUGCGUUGUAUUAGCUAGUAGGUGAGGUAACGGCUCACCUAGGCGACGAUACAUAGCCGACCUGAGAGGGUGAUCGGCCACACUGGGACUGAGACACGGCCCAGACUCCUACGGGAGGCAGCAGUAGGGAAUCUUCGGCAAUGGACGAAAGUCUGACCGAGCAACGCCGCGGGAGUGAAGAAGGGUGUCGGAUCGUAAAGCUCUGUUGUAAGAGAAGAACGGGUGUGAGAGUGGAAAGUUCACACUGUGACGGUAGCUUACCAGAAAGGGACGGCUAACUACGUG